GAAGAAGGGUUUGGAUCCUUGAAUGGAUCGAAUCGAUCUCUCUGGUUAACUAACCAACUAACCCGGUUGGUUUGGUUUGACUGGCUGCUGCUGAUGUCACUUCACUUCACUGCUCUACUCACCACAUUUGUCUUUUCAGGACUAAGGUGCGGCAUAGCUGCAGCAGCAAAGGCGGACAACAGUGUAGGCACAGCUAGCAGUAGGGACCAUAGUGGCGGACUGGCGGUGACCGAGCCAAGACGGAAAUGCCAGAACCUGGAGCGCUGUGGACUUCACAGGUGACAAAAUGCAUUUUCUCGCUAGUUCCUGCUAUUUAUAGCCAUUCUUGGUAGUUAUUACGGAUCUAACAAUCGGCAGCGCCUGGAUUAGUCAUCUCUCCACGAUCUGAUCGAUCGAAUUCAUCCGACGGUCCAUAUUCAAAGUUAUUCGUACACUAUAAAGUAGUAUUGGUAUAUGAACGGGAACUACUUUUGGACA